ensembl:lncRNA
CUCUGAAGUAAUGCUCACGCCCAGUGCUUGCUGGCCAUUUUGUUUAGUUCUGUUGCAGAACUAAACUGGGACUGUGAGCCUGGGUGCCCUGGCUUGAAACCAGGCUGGCUAGCUCACCUUGCAGCUCGAAUUGGCCAGGCAUUUCUCAGUUCCUUCUUAGAUGAAACCCGUGUGUUUUGGUGCAUUUGUGUGAAGGGGCUGCGUGCUCCUCUCCAGGAUCCUGCUGGGAGCCUAUUUGUUUACACCAAGGCUGCCUUAAGCUUUAAAAUAGGAGUAAAUUCUGCUUGCAUGCAGAUGAAGUUUUCUCGAGUGAGCUGAAGGGAUGUUAAGUGACCUUUGUGUGAUGAGAAUUGGGGCCUGUGGAGGAAACACUCAUCAUUUUUCCAUCUGAGGGUAUUUGGGCCUUUUCUUGCAGGAGCUGCACACAACUGAGACCUUCCCUUCAUCUCCCUGGGAGGCUGCAGCCAGUUCAUCAAAGGGUAGUGAUCCAAGUCUCUGUCAUCUUCAGGAAUCAUUGCAGUGUGUUCACCCUUGGCUAAGCUUGAAGGAGCCCUGAAAGUUGCAGCUCAGGCAAGAGAUGAUUGUGCGCUUCUCUGUGCGGCUUCCACUGAACCUGUGAUGCAUUCAGGAGCACCAACCUCCUUCAGGAGCCUCAAUGCAGCUCAAGAUGAUGGCCAUGCCAGCUGCUUACAAGAGACCUGUGGGUGCUGGAUUGGCUAUGCAGCAUUAUCAGCAGACAAAAAGCUGAUUCAGUGAUCCCUAAAGCAUGAACUUCUGUAGGAGGACCACAGCAUUUAUCAAACAGCACAACAAUACCUUUAAAGAGUGAAAGUGAAGAAUGAUCUUCUCCACUGAAAAUCCAGAGAUCUGGUGUAGCCAGCAGAACCAAACCUCCAUAGUGCACUGCUGGACCAUUUGGAGGUGAGAGCACUGUUGGGUGAGAUGCCUUUAGAACACAAUGCACUGUUUUAUGCAUACAGGGUAGAUUUUUCUUCGUGGUCUCUUGCUGAUAUGAGUGGGGGGUCUGUGUAGCAUCUAACACUGCUUUGCCUGGGAUUUUUGGUGAGUAUGUAACUCAGGGGCAGGGCUGUGACUCACACAAUUUAUUCUAUUUUGAGUCCUCCUUUUAAUUCUCUCCACUGUGGUAUAUGGGUGGUUGAAGGAAACACACAUAUGCACACUCCACAUACUGCAAAUAGAAAGUCUGCAUUUAAAGGCCUCCUAUUGCUUACUCACAGACCCUGCCAAGCUUAAAUCUGCUUGUCUUAGUAAACACACCUUCCUGUAGUGUUGCUCAUCAGGAACAGAUGGUCCCUAGGGGGACAGAUGGCCCUGGAGUUGGGAAUUUCCAGAGGCUUUUGGUGGGAGAUGGGAUACCACCCUUUACCUUAUAGAUCUGUUCUAAAGGCAUUCUCCUUUGGUACUUUUCUAAUACCAUGAAAAAUCCCUUUUCAUUGCCAGAAGGUGUAGUUAGGUAGGUCCCUGUCCUAACCUAUGGUGAAGCAGUGUGUUCCAACAUACAUGCAGUGUCCUCCUUUCUAUUGGACAUACAAGAGAUCAGAGGAAUGAACAGGGAAAUUAAUGUAACAUGUAGACUUGAAGAGCAUGAAAUAUGGACCUUUUCCUAUGGUCCCUCCAAAAUAGCCUCUUGCCCUCAGAUAUGCUUCCUGUACUACCCAGGGUAAGACCACAGAAGAUCUGCUCUUCAGUUACAUUCAGAACUUUUUUCUCUUAUCUAUAUUCUGGGGCAACAGAGAUGCAAGAUUGAAAUUAUCCCUUCAACUAUCAGCAUCCGUUCCUGGAAAUGAAUCCCUACCUCUUUGAUUGUUUCCUGGACAUUUUCUACAGAACAUCUGAUAUCUCUCAGAGGUAUCUUCUCCUUUUCCAUUUAUAUGCACUGGAACCAUUAGGAACACAGCAGCUGCUGCAUUCA